rnacentral:ribozyme from 13 species
UCGCCGGCCCCGGCGCAGCAACGAGACCAAGCUCGGAGGCAGACGAAUGACACAAAAGAGGAG